GUCCACGCCGUAAACGAUGAUUACUAGGUGUGGGGGACUGACCCCUUCCGUGCCGCAGUUAACACAAUAAGUAAUCCACCUGGGGAGUACGGCCGCAAGGUUGAAACUCAAAGGAAUUGACGGGGGCCCGCACAAGCAGUGGAGUAUGUGGUUUAAUUCGAAGCAACGCGAAGAACCUUACCAGGUCUUGACAUCGAGUGACGUACCUAGAGAUAGGUAUUUUCUUCGGAACACAAAGACAGGUGGUGCAUGGUUGUCGU
rnacentral:rRNA from 1 species